ensembl:snoRNA Z30 small nucleolar RNA
UGGCAGUGAUGAGUGUGCAGAUACUGACCUGGUAUUGUCCUCUGCUCUGACCAGGACAUGAUCUCAAUUGCUUAAUCUUCUCUCUGAGCUU